rnacentral:tRNA from 1 species
AUGACAGGCGCGUGUACUAACCGAUAUACUACCAGGGA